ACGAAGGGUGCAAGCGUUGUUCGGAUUUAUUGGGCGUAAAGCGCGCGCAGGCGGAUUAACAAGUCAGAUGUGAAAUCUCGGGGCUCAACCCCGAAACUGCGUCUGAAACUGUCAAUCUAGAAUCUUGGAGAGGGAAGGGGAAUUUCUCAUGUAGGGGUAAAAUCCGUAGAGAUGAGAAGGAACACCAGAGGCGAAGGCGCCUUCCUGGACAAGUAUUGACGCUGAGGCGCGAAAGCGUGGGGAGCAAACAGG
rnacentral:rRNA from 1 species